rnacentral:misc_RNA from 1 species
GAUGAAGAACGCAGCGAAAUGCGAUAAGUAAUGUGAAUUGCAGAAUUCAGUGAAUCAUCGAAUCUUUGAACGCACAUUGCGCCCGCCAGUAUUCUGGCGGGCAUGCCUGUUCGAGCGUCAUUUCAACCAUCAAGCCCCCGGCUUGUGUUGGGGACCUGCGGCUGCCGCAGGCCCUGAAAAGCAGUGGCGGGCUCGCUGUCACACCGAGCGUAGUAGCAUACAUCUCGCUCUGGGCGUGCUGCGGGUUCCGGCCGUUAAACCACCUUCAUAACCUAAGGUUGACCUCGGAUCAGGUAGGAAGACCCGCUGAACUUAAGCAUAUCAAUAAGCGGAGGA